AAUGUGAUUGCUGGAUGAUAUGGUAAGAGUAUGUUUAACUUUGUAAGAAACUGGCAGACUGUCUUGCAAAGUGGCUGCACCAUUCUGCAUUUCCACCAGCAAU
rnacentral:pre_miRNA from 1 species